rnacentral:tRNA from 1 species
GGCUUCAACGCUCAGUUGGUCGAACAUUGCACCAGUAUCGCGGGGGUCACGGGUUCGAAUCCCGUUGAAGCCC